GUCCCUUUAGAGCAAUGGACAUCUCGUUGGACUUCAAAUCCAGAGGUCGUGGGUUCGAAUCCCACCAGAGAUG